GAUGAACGCUGGCGGCGUGCCUAAUACAUGCAAGUCGAGCGAACAGACGAGGAGCUUGCUCCUCUGACGUUAGCGGCGGACGGGUGAGUAACACGUGGAUAACCUACCUAUAAGACUGGGAUAACUUCGGGAAACCGGAGCUAAUACCGGAUAAUAUAUUGAACCGCAUGGUUCAAUAGUGAAAGACGGUUUUGCUGUCACUUAUAGAUGGAUCCGCGCCGCAUUAGCUAGUUGGUAAGGUAACGGCUUACCAAGGCAACGAUGCGUAGCCGACCUGAGAGGGGGAUCGGCCACAUGGGAACGGAGACCGGGUCCAGACCCCUACGGGAGGCAGCAGUAGGGAAUCUUCCGCAAUGGGCGAAAGCUUGACGGAGCAACGCCGCGUGAGUGAUGAAGGUCUUCGGAUCGUAAAACUCUUUUAUGGGGGAAGAAAAAAUGUGUAAGUAACUAUGCACGUCUUGACGGUACCCAAUCAAAAAGCCACGGCUAACUACGU
rnacentral:rRNA from 1 species